GUGGGCCUGUGUGUCAGAGAUGCCUACGUGAUUACUCACCCGUCCGCCACUCGUUGGCGACCAAAAUCAAUCAGGUGCAAGCACCAUCAAUCAAUUGGGCCAACGCGUUCGACUUGCAUGUAUUAGGCACACCGCCGGCGUUCAUCCUGAGCCAUGAAAAAAAACUCU
rnacentral:rRNA from 1 species